CCUACGGGAGGCAGCAGUGGGGAAUAUUGCACAAUGGAGGAAACCCUGAUGCAGCAACGCAGCGUGAGUGAAGAAGUAUUUCGGUGUGUAAAGCUCUAUCAGCAGGGGAGUAGAUGACGGUACGUGAAUAAGAAGCCACGGCUAACUUCGUGCCAGAAGCCGCGGGACUACGUAGGGGGCCAGCGUUAUCCGGAUGUACUGGGGGUAAAGGGAGCUGAGGGGGAAGUGCAAGUCUGUAGUGAAAGUCCGGGGCCCAACCCCGGAAUUGCACUGGAAACUGGGCGGCUAGAGUACUGGAGGGGCAGGCGGAAUUCCUGGUGUAGCGGUGAAAUGCGUAGAUAUUAGGAGGAACUCCAGUGGCGAAGGCAGCCUGCUGGACAGUAACUGACGUUGAGGCUCGAAAGCGUGGGGAGCAAACAGGAUUUGAUACCCCAGUAGUC
rnacentral:rRNA from 1 species